AUUGAACGCUGGCGGUAGGCCUAACACAUGCAAGUCGAACGCGAAAGUCCUUCGGGAUGAGUAGAGUGGCGGACGGGUGAGUAACGCGUAGGAAUCUCUCCUGUAGUGGGGGAUAACGUUUCGAAAGGAACGCUAAUACCGCAUACGCCCCAAGGGGGAAAGCGGGGGAUCUACGGACCUCGUGCUAUAGGAGGAGCCUGCGUCGGAUUAGCGAGUUGGUGAGGUAAAGGCGCACCAAGGCGACGAUCCUUAGCUGGUCUGAGAGGAUGAUCAGCCACACCGGAACUGAGAACCGUGCCGGACUCCUACGGGAGGCAGCAGUGGGGAAUAUGGCGCAAUGGGCGAAAGCCUGACGCAGCCAUACCGCGUGUGUGAAGAAGGCCUUCGGGUUGUAAAGCACUUUCAGUGGGGAGGAAAAGCUGGUGGCUAAUAUCCAUCGGCCGUGACGCUACCCACAGAAGAAGCACCGGCUAAUUCCGUGCCAGCAGCCGCCGUAAGAC
rnacentral:rRNA from 1 species